AUUGAACGCUGGCGGCAUGCCUUACACAUGCAAGUCGAACGGCAGCACGGGAGUAAUCCUGGUGGCGAGUGGCGAACGGGUGAGUAAUACAUCGGAACGUGCCCAGUAGUGGGGGAUAGCCCGGCGAAAGCCGGAUUAAUACCGCAUACGACCUACGGGUGAAAGCGGGGGAUCGCAAGACCUCGCGCUAUCGGAGCGGCCGAUGUCAGAUUAGGUUGUUGGUGGGGUAAAGGCCACCAAGCCGACGAUCUGUAGCUGGUCUGAGAGGACGACCAGCCACACUGGGACUGAGACACGGCCCAGACUCCUACGGGAGGCAGCAGUGGGGAAUUUUGGACAAUGGGGCAACCCUGAUCCAGCCAUGCCGCGUGCGGGAAGAAGGCCU
rnacentral:rRNA from 1 species